AACGGCUUGAAUUCAAGCUCUCAUUCUACAAGAUACUGCAGGUGAAGGCACUAGCGACACAAAGAAGACCAGGUACCCGGAUGCAUGAAGAAAAAAACUUUUGUGAUCUAUGUAUGAAUAGAAGACUAUGUUCGUACUUCUAUAAUUCUCUUAAUAUGUCAUGUUGAGACACAUCAACAACUUUUUGUAUUAACUUCGUUACUAUAAGUGAAAUGUUCAAACCGAUAACAAUUCAGUUUAGCGCGCCGCAACGCGGGCGUGGGUAUCAACCUAGUUUUUGU